rnacentral:rRNA from 1 species
UAGGGAAUCUUCGGCAAUGGGGGGAACCCUGACCGAGCAACGCCGCGUGAGUGAAGAAGGUUUUCGGAUCGUAAAGCUCUGUUGUUAAGGAAGAACGAGUGUGAGAAUGGAAAGUUCAUACUGUGACGGUACUUAACCAGAAAGGGACGGCUAACUACGUGCUAGCAGCCGCGGUAAUACGUAGGUCCCGAGCGUUGUCCGGAUUUAUUGGGCGUAAAGCGAGCGCAGGCGGUUAGAUAAGUCUGAAGUUAAAGGCAGUGGCUCAACCAUUGUAGGCUUUGGAAACUGUUUAACUUGAGUGCAGAAGGGGAGAGUGGAAUUCCAUGUGUAGCGGUGAAAUGCGUAGAUAUAUGGAGGAACACCGGUGGCGAAAGCGGCCCUCUGGUCUGUAACUGACGCUGAGGCUCGAAAGCGUGGGGAGCGAACAGG